GGCUAUGUAGCUCAGCUGGUUAGAGCACGGCACUCAUAAUGCCGGGGUCAGUGGUUCGAGUCCACUCAUAGCCA
rnacentral:tRNA from 1 species